GUACUCCCAUGCCCCCCCACGUCCCGGGGUAAUACUUGCGGCAUGGGCGAGGAAAAAGGGUGCGUUGUCAUCAGGCUCAAGGGUGGAAGUCUACGGCCCCUCCGCUUCCUCACGAACAUAGGGCCCGGAGGUGAGAGCCCAGCUGUAUGUCUCUUGGUUGGUGCAGUAAGGUUUCAAGGCGUCAAGAAAAAAUAAGUCAUCCCGUUCAUGGCAUGGUUCACGAGGUCAUAGUCCCGG